ensembl:lncRNA
UUCCUGCUCAAAGUUUACUUUCACUUUGCUGAACUUCGUGGAGUGGAGUUUGCUGUUGGUGUGCGUGUGUGUGAAAAAAACUUCUCUCCACUUAAGUCAGUGUGUAAUGUUUUCCGACGAGCCCAAGUGUGUCCACCAGUAUUUUACCUCUGUGCGUCUGAUCAGAGACCGGGAAUCAGACUAAACACACUGAAUGUGUCCUGAGCUUGAACCUCUGAGUUCCCGGUGUUUAUAUUACAGGGACAGCAGCGGAAUUUGUAAAUGAAUAUUUUCUGUAGAUGUGUGUUAGAUAUAGAUUCAAUAUGUCAGUCUUUAAAAUACUGCGUCACAAACUGCUGGCUCCACUCCAACAGGAAGAAGUGUUACAAAACACACAAAAGUUAUUGUGAAAUGUCCUGUUAGUGUUCAGUUUUGUUAUAAAAUCGGCAUUAAUCUAAAUCAGUCUAGCCUCUGACAUACACCAUAAAUACAAUAAUGAAUAAAACAUGAAAUAUAAACUGAAACAAGCAAACUAACUGAAACUAAAUUGAAUUAAAAACACAAAGUGAAAAAGAAAUACAAGUAAAAGCUAAUUAGACAUUAAAAAAAAAAAAACUAUAACUGCUGGCUGUGGAUAUGUGUCAGGUGGGGGUUUCAGCCACCACAGAUGUCUUCCUUCAUUUGUCUGUUAGUGACUGAGAUCAUUUAAAUAUGCGUAUGUACCUGCCACAGUGUUAAUUUAAAGUUCUCACCCUCGAGGUCUUUCUAUUGUACUCACUUUUGUUUCUAGCGGUCUAGGCAAUAAUGGCUGUGUUAUACAAGCUGUACACUGACUACUUUACAUCGUAUCAAAGUGUCAUAUCUUCAAUGUUGUCUCAUGAAACAAUAUAAUAAAAUAUUUACAAACAUGUGAGGGGUGUACUCACUUUGGUGACAUACUGUACAUGAGGGAAAAGUUGUUAGUGGAAUUCUUCAUUCAUGAGAUUUCAGGAUUUAGUAAAAGUGACACGUGUCAGCUCCAUGGCUGUAAACUGAUCUGAUCUGUUCAUCAGUUGAAUCCAGAGUGAUUUUCCUGUCUCCAUUAGUCUGUGGAGUAGGUGGAAAGGAGCUGCUGCACCACAGUAACUGCUGUCAGACUGACACAUCUGUUUGACCAUAACCAGUUAUAGUGUCAGCAACUGUUGGAGGUUUAGGAUCUUUAUAAUUACAGUGCAGGUAUAUAUAUUUGUUGUGGGCAGUCUGAGGUACACCUGUGCACUACUCAUGAUGUCAGAUCAGCAUCCUGAUGUGGCACACCUGUGAGGUGGGAUGGAUUAUCUCAAUAUGGCAGAUGUGCCCACUACCACACAUUUGGAC